CCACCUGUAGUAAACACUUUACGUCUGCUUGCAGUUCAGAAAAUGGGGAGCCUCCCCCUGGUGGU
rnacentral:tRNA from 1 species